GCGGCGGGGCUCCGGCUCGGAAGCUCGCGUUUGCUGCGCUCGCCCGCGGGGCUUUGAGGCUGUGCGGCCGCUGCAGAGCUCGCCGCACAAAUUAGAACGUUCAAACAGCUGAUUGUGACGUCACAAAGGGGCCCGCCCGCCUCGCGUCACCGGCGAGCGGAGCAGUGGCCAAUCCCAGGCUGCGGACACCCCCGCUCCCUCCCCCUCCAGGAUUCGCUGGCUAGUGGCUCCUGCCCCGGAGCCCGACUCAGAGCCUCGGGGGGCCCUCCCGGGGAGGCCACUACUGGGACCUUCGACUCCUUGCUGCAGGACUACCCACAGACCUCUUCACGAGGAGGAUCCCCAUCUUCCGGCAUUCUCUCCAGCCAUCCCAGCGCCCUCCCACUGUCCCCCCUCUCUCCAGCUUCCUCCCCACUUCUACCUGCAGCGUGUGCUAAUGUCAAAUUCCUGUUUCUUCAACACUCUCCCAAAGCCCCCAGAGCCCAGGAUGCCCUCUUCAGAUCUUUCUGAAUUUAUAUAUUUUCUGUCUUUGGGACUCUACUCACCCUUUCUUCCUCUAGACAGCCUUCUCCACCCUUAUGUCCAGAGCUACCUUGAUAGACACUGAUUUAUUUGUUCAAUAAAUAAGCAGUGGUGAUGAC